rnacentral:tRNA from 1 species
GCUGCAAUAGCUCAACCGGCAGAGCAACUGCCUUGUAAGCAGUAGGUUAUGGGUUCGACUCCAAUUUGCAGCUCCA